AAAGUGGUACGCGAGCUGGGUUUAGAACGUCGUGAGACAGUUCGGUCCCUAUCUGCCGUGGGCGCUGGAGAACUGAGGGGGGCUGCUCCUAGUACGAGAGGACCGGAGUGGACGCAUCACUGGUGUUCGGGUUGUCAUGCCAAUGGCACUGCCCGGUAGCUAAAUGCGGAAGAGAUAAGUGCUGAAAGCAUCUAAGCACGAAACUUGCCCCGAGAUGAGUUCUCCCUGAGACUUWRAGUCUCCUGAAGGAACGUUGAAGACGACGACGUUGAUAGGCCGGGUGUGUAAGCGCAGCGAUGCGUUGAGCUAACCGGUACUAAUGAACCGUGAGGCUUAACCUU
rnacentral:rRNA from 1 species